rnacentral:rRNA from 1 species
CUCGUAGGCGGCCGUCUAAGUCAGACGUGAAAUCCCUCGGCUUAACCGGGGAACGGCGUCUGAUACUGGAGGGCUUGAGUUCGGGAGAGGGAUGCGGAAUUCCAGGUGUAGCGGUGAAAUGCGUAGAUAUCUGGAGGAACACCGGUGGCGAAGGCGGCAUCCUGGACCGAGACUGACGCUGAGGAGCGAAAGCCAAGGGGGAGCAAAACGG